rnacentral:rRNA from 1 species
GAUGAACGCUGGCGGCGUGCCUAAUACAUGCAAGUCGAGCGAAUGGAUUAAGAGCUUGCUCUUAUGAAGUUAGCGGCGGACGGGUGAGUAACACGUGGGUAACCUGCCCAUAAGACUGGGAUAACUCCGGGAAACCGGGGCUAAUACCGGAUAACAUUUUGAACCGCAUGGAUCGAAAUUGAACGGCGGCUUCGGCUGUCACUUAUGGAUGGACCCGCGUCGCAUUAGCUAGUUGGUGAGGUAACGGCUCACCAAGGCAACGAUGCGUAGCCGACCUGAGAGGGUGAUCGGCCACACUGGGACUGAGACACGGCCCAGACUCCUACGGGAGGCAGCAGUAGGGAAUCUUCCGCAAUGGACGAAAGUCUGACGGAGCAACGCCGCGUGAGUGAUGAAGGCUUUCGGGUCGUAAAAUUCUGUUGUUAGGGAAGAACAAGUGCUAGUUGAAUAAGCUGGCACCUUGACGGUACCUAACCAGAAAGCCACGGCUAACUACGUGCCAGCCGCCGCAGUAA